GCAGCAUUCGCCACGGAGUGAUUGGCUUCAGCUGUCUGCCAGGCGUGAAGGCAUCAUCUGAGCCUUGUUGCUUCGCUGGGAUCGGAAGGGAAGAGCACCUGGUUCCCGUGGCUCUGGGAUGCUGGGAGCAGCCCCUCCCCCAGGCAGGCAUUUGUCGAGGGGAUCUGUCAGGAGCAUCUCGAGGUUUGCACUCCAGGAACCCAAACUCACCCCUAAUGUGGGCAGAUCCCCCUCGUUGCCCUGUGAGGUGGGAUCAGCUGGGAAGUUGGCUGUGUUUCCUGGGAUAAACCUCCCUCGCCUGCUGCCUGCUCACUGCCCUGGGGAUGAGCAGGGUGGGUAAAAUCCAGAGGUGCU